UUUCCUGUCGCGUGGUUGUGUUUCCUCUCCGGCCAGUGCCAUCCGCCCAAAUCUACAGACAUCCCGCGUGUUCCCGGGCUGUCCGCUCGUCUCCCCUAUACAGGGCGCCAAGGACCCCGGGUGCAGCGUCUGGGUCCCCCUGCCCUGCCUUGCGCUGCAGCCGCUUCCGUUGUCCUGCCAGGCUGUAGACUGCGCAGCCCUUCUAGAGACAGACGGAAGCUCCGUGGGUUGACAGAUUACACCUUCUGGAGCCCCCUGUUCCCUUCAACUCCGUGAUGGGCAUCCACUGUCCAGGGAGAGGAUGCCUGGAAAUGACAGCCGGGGUCUACAGUGGCCAUAAGAGUUGUCCCCAUCUUGCUAGAUCGACAGACUGGUGCCCCCGAAUGAGGACUGUGCCCUGGGACAGGGGAUAUGGUAUAGUUGGAAGUUUGUGAAGUGCCAGGAGAGACGGUACACUCGAGUGCUGUGCCCUGGUGGGCCUUUGAACAGCCAGUGGCAGGUGCAGUGGAUCAUCAGCCCUGUCUCCCAAGAGCCUCGCCAGUCCCUUCUCCGGAGAGCAAGUGGCUCCACUGGCUGCUCCGGAGGCCAUAGCAGGAUUGUCACCUGUACUCAACAGUCCUCCUCGACUUUCCAGAAGAGGCUGGAACAGGGCCCUUGAAGAUGUUUGUGGACACCAGAGUGCCAAAGACCACGCUCAAAGUGAAACUGGAGACACCGCCCCCUCGGCAUCAUGAAACAGCUUUUUACUGUGCUUGGUCACUGGCUCAUACAUGGGAGAUUCCAGCAUACAAAGUCUUGACACCAACACCUCGGAGGGCUGUGUUCUGUCCCCAUGACCAUCUGCCAGUGCCUGGAAUGACUAAUGCCAAGAACUUGGUGCCAACUUCCUGUUACCUCCCUAACAG